UGCCAUAACGGCUGUGUCUGUGUUUUUCCCCAGGAGGACAGCGGAACACAGGACUGCAAGACACACGGGGUGUGUGAAGGCACAGGGGCAGAGAGCACGGGAUACCAGCACUUGGGAGAAGACACGUCACGGGAGUCGAGGGAGCACUUUUGGAGAUUCAAUGUGUGGUGUACAAUUACCUCACUGUAAAUAAACCCACUGUUCAUUCCAUUAAGUCCAGCGUUUGGGUCCUAUUUCCCCAUCUCCCCACGAUCUGCCAGCCAGACCGUGACAAUUUGUGAAUACAAGAACUCGAGAACUGUUGUUUAAAGUAAAAUGACACACGGCUAAUAUACCAGUAAUAUGUCUUUUCCUUUUAUGACCACACAGCAAAAAUAACAUUAAAAAGGUGUUUCACGUACGAACCUUCAGGCCUUUUUUGGGAUAGGUAAAAUGGGUCUAAGAAUUGAUGAAUAUACAUAUAAUAGCUCAUCUAAUUAGUCACAGUCAUGACUCACCUUUGAAUGUUUUUUCCUGUAACACAGCAGUCCUUUUGCGUCACGGACCUGUUUACGUCCAACAAUAUUUUCGUUGGACAUAAACAAGGUGUCGCAGAUAAAAAAAAACAAAAUAAAACCAGUACCAGUACAAAAAAAAGAAGAUUUAUUCGUAACACACAGGAAAAGACCCAGGGAAACCGAGUUAUCGAUAACAACGAUUUAAAAAAUGACGCUUAAAAACCAAUAAAAACCCUGAAAACCAUGAAUUUUACACCCGAGCCUCAACUCUCACGGCCUGGUGCUAAACGACUCACAGACAGGUCAAUGCGCCCAGGGUUGGGGACCACUGAUGUAACUUAUAAAAGCUAACAUGAUUUCUAGUUGAGUAGACUGUUAGUCGAAAAACCCUAUGAUCAUGAAGGAAUGUCUAACUGUAAUUCUUACCAUAACAAUAACAAACAUAAAACAUAAAAGUAUUCUCAGUAGUUUAUCUUACUUAUGAUUUUUAGCAUGUCUUAUUGCUUGUUCUUACUUAGCCAUUUAUUUUUGAAAUGAUAUGGUGAAUAAAGUCACUAAGGCUCAUGUGCACUCCAUUAAGAUCUACAGACUUUAUAGCCAGCAGGCUGAGGGGUAGCACUGGCAGCAACCAUUUUUAAAAAUUUUAUUCUGCAAAGUUGCUGUAAGCUCCCAUUGCAUUCACCACUUAGCCAAUUUACACUUGUCUUUGACCUAUCUGUAUAGGUGUGUGUUUGACCUAUCUGUGCCUAUCUGUGCAAAAGUCUUUUGAUUUUUUUUUGUUUUUGUUUUUUAAUUAUAUGACUAGGAAAGUGGGAAAUGGAUGGACAUUUACUGAAACAUGCACAAGCAUGCAAGCAGAGUCAUGCAAGUCUAACAAUUAUUUCUGGUUAACAGUAGCUCGAUUAGCUAAAGCAGCGGUCCCCAAAUCCUGGCCCUCGGACCGGUACCGGUCCGUGAAUCGUUUGGUACCGGGCCGCGAGAGUUGAGGCUCAGGUGUCAAAUGUUUGGUUUUCAGGGUUUUUAUCGGUUUUCAGCGUUAUUAUGUUAUCGUUUUGAUCGUUAACUCGGUCUUUUCACAUGUGUUAUAAAUAAAUCUUCUUUUUUUCUGUACCGGUACCAGUUUUAUUUUGUUGUAUUUAUCCGCGACACAUUAAAGGCCGGUCCGUGAAAAUAUUGUCGGGCAUAAACCGGUCAGUGGCUCAAAAAAGGUUGGAGACCGAUGCUGUAAAGGACCAUCUGCGUCACUCCGGU
ensembl:lncRNA